CAAUAGCGUAUAUUAAAGUUGUUGCAGUUAAAAGGCUCGUAGUUGGAUUUGUGGCGUACGACGGGCUCCGGGCACUUGUUGUCUGAGUAGCUUGUCGUUGCCAUCCUUGGGUGGAACCUGUGUGGCAUUAGGUUGUCGUGCAGGGGAUGCCCAUCUUUUACUGUGAAAAAAUUAGAGUGUUCAAAGCAGGCUUAUGCCGUUGAAUAUAUUAGCAUGGAAUAAUAAGAUAGGACUUUGUCGCUAUUUUGUUGGUUUGCGCGAUAAGGUGAUGAUUAAUAGGGACAGUUGGGGGUAUUCGUAUUCCAUUGUCAGAGGUGAAAUUCUUGGAUUUUUGGAAGACGAACUACUGCGAAAGCAUUUACCAAGGAUGUUUUCAUUA
rnacentral:rRNA from 1 species